rfam:Paenisporosarcina sp. HGH0030 genomic scaffold acAqH-supercont1.3, whole genome shotgun sequence.
UACCGAUAACGGCAAACUUAUUCGAAAGAUAAGGACGCAAAGCCACGGGCCUAAGUGAAAUCGAUAGGGCAGCCGGGUUACCGAA